CCUACGGGGGGCUGCAGUGAGGAAUAUUGGGCAAUGGGCGCAAGCCUGACCCAGCAACGCCGCGUGAAGGAAGAAGGCUUUCGGGUUGUAAACUUCUUUUAUCCGGGACGAAGCAAGUGACGGUACCUGAUGAAUAAGCCACGGCUAACUACGGGCCAGCAGCCGCGGGAAUACGUAGGUGGCAAGCGUUAUCCGGAUUUAAUGGGGGUAAAGGGCGUGUAGGCGGGAGUGCAAGUCAGAUGUGAAAACUAUGGGCUCAACCCAUAGCGUGCAUUUGAAACUGUACUUCUUGAGUGCGGGAGAGGUAAGCGGAAUGCCGGGUGUAGCGGUGAAAUGCGUAGAUAUACGGAGGAACACCAGUUGCGAAGGCGGAUUGCUGGACAGUAACUGACGCUGAGGCGCGAAAGCGUGGGGAGCAAACAGGAUUAGAUACCCCGGUAGUC
rnacentral:rRNA from 1 species